GCCUUGGUGAUAUUUGCAUUCUCCUGAGAGAGUAUGAACAAAGACAAUAAAUAUAUACAAACACAUGAAUAUUUUGAAAGAUCAGCCCAGAGAGUGAUGAGGACCAGAAAGAAAAAUUUUCAAAGUUCUUUUAUCCAGAAGAUGUGUUGAUGAUGAAUACAUCCAAGUUUCGAUGUAUCCUGCAUUUUUCCGAACUUGCCACUACCAUGUAAUCUAAGGAAAAACUGAACUUGGCUGAGUUCAGGACAAGAUGGAAAUGCUAUUAAUAGGAUUUGAGUUGCCUGCGCAGUGCAGCACCACACACUCAGCAAUCAGCAACAGUAGCUGCUGCAUUCAUGGCAAUUCUACAUACAGGAUUAUUUGUCAUUUAUCCUCUGUGUCCUAUUUCUCAUUUAUACUGCAGUUAUGUAUGUG
ensembl:lncRNA